rnacentral:misc_RNA from 1 species
UAGACGGGCCGCACAUGGUCAAAAGAACUCGACGACCCCUACACCCAAACACCGACACAAAAGGAGGAAGACCGUGGUGCGCCGUCGUUGCCAAGUCUCGACACACUCCACGCAAGGCAACUCCGAUUCUUCACCAACGAGCUUGCUCCUCCGCCCCGCCCCAAGCAAUUGCUCAACCUCCAAAACAAUCUAGUCCUCAAAAAGGGGGAUUCGUUCUAGUCAUUGCUGUGGAGCCACAUCUCCUGACGCAGAAGCUUCGACUUCUUGUUGCAAAACCCCACCUCCAUCUGCAUACCAGACACCGAGAAGCGAAAGCAACAACCGAAGGCAAUGUCAUGCCCGAGACAAACUUCAAUAACGACGUCUUCAGGAAGGGAGUGACGUCUUGGAUGCCAUUAUCACUUAUCUGAGAUGGAUCUGACUUUCGUCCAUGCAAGACAGUGUUGAGAAACGCGACGCCCGUGACAGCCAAAGUGACAUUCACGAGCGUCACUGUCGU